GCAGAACACUUCAACGUCUGCCUUUUGAUUGCAGCCAUGGCUCCUAAAUUAGAGCGUCAUUGUCAAGACUGAUGUAAACCCCGAAUAACUUCACCGAGCGAGGUGUUGAUGUAAAUCUGGAACAGAUCAGCUGGGACUUUUCCAGCAGGGAGACAGUCCCAGAGGGAAACCCUCCAGCCUGCAGUGACAGGGAUGCUCAUCCAACCCUGGUGCUGGU
rnacentral:lncRNA from 1 species